UACGUAGGGUGCGAGCGUUAAUCGGAAUUACUGGGCGUAAAGCGUGCGCAGGCGGUUUUGUAAGUCAGAUGUGAAAUCCCCGGGCUUAACCUGGGAAUGGCAUUUGGGACUGCAAGGCUGGAGUGUGGCAGAGGAGACUGGAAUUCCUGGUGUAGCAGUGAAAUGCGUAGAGAUGUGGAGGAAUACCGAUGGCGAAGGCAGCCCCCUGGGCCAAUACUGACGCUCAUGCACGAAAGCGUGGGGAGCAAACAGG
rnacentral:rRNA from 1 species